ensembl:lncRNA
GCCGGAAAUGCCAGGGAGGACCUUUUGCACAAUUGGCCAUCAGCUUGGUUCUGAAAAUGCGUUCUCGGCAUUUUCCACAGGACACGCUUUGAAGCGAGUGGAUGCACAGAGCUUUGAGAGGCGUGGUUAUCACCACCGACCUCACUGCCUCUUGCUCUUAUAUUAUGUCACUUCCUGUCCCAGUGCCUGAAGUUCAGGCCUCUCACGCAGCGUAGGAGAAAGAUGUCCGCUUUUUACUUCCGGAGAAGUAAACUUUAAAGAGGAUGUCCCUGCCUUGAGUCCCCAGGCCUCUCACGUGAAGAAGAAUCCCUCAUACACAGAGCACAGGAUGCCUGUGUUUUCCCUCCCCACCGUCCUUUCCUGCUGGUCUCGGCUCCCGGUUUACCGGGAGUUCUUCAGACCUCCGUGUGUGGCGUCAGGGAGCGCGCACAGAGCUGUUAAUGCAGAACAAAAUGGCCGCCUCUUAGGGUUUGUGGAGCCCGAUGAGGGAAUUACUGCCAGUUUAUACUCUGGGCCCUCACACAUGUCUUUCGUUCCGACAGCUCCAGUGGUUUUUAUUCCAACUGAUCUGCAACCCAUCCCGAAAUUGUUUCAGUAAGGCUCGCUCGGUCGUUCUGUCGGCAACAUUGCAAACUGCACGCCUGGGGGUGAGUGGAAGUCGCCCAGCAGACAGCGGUAAUAUCCAGCAAGGGUUACUGCACACUGAGGGCAUAUGCUGGGCCAUUACUACUCUAGCCUCACAGCGGAAUGAUGAGGGGAAUGGCUGUGAAAAUUUGGAAAUGGGUGAACUGUAAUAAUGCCCAUGGGCGCUGGAUCUGAAUAUUGCAGGUAGGGAAUGCUCAACGGGAGAAAAUGACAUGAAGUUAGAGGAGUUUCAUUUGGCUGCCUCAAAAAAAUCUGUUAGGUAGUAGCAUGGUUUAGUUAUUUAUCUUUGUCAUUUUUGUAAACAAACAUACAGCACUACCAGGUGUCAGGCGGUAUGCAGACAUCUCAUUGGGUCACUCGUGGGUGACACACCUAUUAGCACCUGUAAUUUACAAAUGAGGAGACCGAGACUCAAGGAGGCUGUAAAACGAACAUUCCACGCCUCACACGGGGAGAGCUGCCAUUUGAGUCUGUUUGGCCUGACAGCCUAGCGCCUUCUCAUGGCAUCUUGCCUGCCCCACGUUGUCUCUGUUUGCAACCUGUGUUCUUUUGCCUGGAACACCCUCUUUCACUUUCUGAAAUUGGAUCCUCUUCUCAGUCCUUGCAUAAAUCCCGGCCGGCAUAGUGUCUGCAUGGAUGGUAGAAUCUCAGUCAGUGGUGGUCACCCGCCUUGAUUUUCCGUGCGAACUUCCCCGACGGCCGCCUUUGCUGUUCAUCUUGCUCUUCAGAGCUCUGCUCUACUUUGCUAACAUUUGCACCGUUUAUGUGCAGGUCAGUAUCCUCCGUCAGAAUGCAAGCCGUCUGAGGUCGCCAGGAGUGCUCCACUCUCUAUUUAAUCCUCACGGGCUGACAUGGUAUCUUUCAUGGAUUUGAACCGAAUGGGUUCAUGUGAAGGCAGGACCGGAUCAUCCUCGGUGUGGGGUUGAUCUUUAUGAUGCCGUCGGAUAAGCGGGGGGUCUAGUUGGACAGACAAAAUCACUCAGUUUUAAGGAGGAAACAGAAGACUCCAUAGCAGCUGCUCAGAAAAAAUCCGUGUUUACUACAGUCUGAGAUAUUUGAGGGCAGGGACCAUUUUAUGCUCAUCAUAAUACCCCCCUCGGCACUCCACGCUGCCUCGCGCCUGCAGUUUGGAUUACAGACACCCUUCGU